CCCACUGAAGAAAUCAGAGAAAAACUGCUUCGCAGUUAGUUGCACAGGCCGUCGAGUCGGAUUCCGUCCCUGCAAAGCCCAUGAACCCCGCCACCCAAGACGCUGCGGCGGCGGAGGAGGAGUCGCCGGUGGUGUGCACCGCAAAGAAGUACAUCUUUGACCUGCACUCCUACGCUUGGAAAGAAAGCGACUGCCUUAUCCGAAUUCCUCGCCCGCACAAGGGCAUGGGCCACGGUGGCAUGCGAGUCUGUUACGCUGUGGAGGACGUGGAUGAGGAGGGAGCUGGGACACCGAUGGUGGCCAAGAUGUUUCGCCGCAACAUCAGUGACGUUGUAGAGAAAGACUACUUCAACGAGGGAGCAGCGCAGUGCAUGUGCGAAGAGUUUGCGAACAACUUCAACCGCAUUCACCUCACCAACAUUCACAAGCCAAACAUCUCUUUUCUGCAGUGUUACGUAGUCCGCAUCCCUCGCGACAGCAUCCCGGCGGCUUCCCAGAAGAAGCGUACUGGUUUUUUCUCUUACAAGACCCAGGAUACGGGGGAGGUGAUGUUUGUGAUGGAGCCGAUGCUGAGCGGCAAAUUCACCAAGUACAACAGCAACUAUGGCGAAACCUACCGUGAAGACAAAAAAGCAGCCCUUACGUCGUCGGAGGCGAAGCGGCGAACGGAGGUCUUUGAAGCCGCAGAGGCCUUUUCGCAUUUUACCCUGGUGGAAAGUGGCGGCUCGAUGCUCGUGUGCGAUCUGCAAGGCGUUAAUGACUUCCUUACCGACCCGCAAAUUCACACGGAGGACGGCAAGGGACUUGGCAUGGGCAACAUGGGGCAGGAGGGUAUCGACAAGUGGAUAGAGAAGCACGAAUGCAAUGAGAUCUGUCGCGCGCUGGGUCUGCAGCCUUUGCUUGGCGCCGUGCCCAGCUCGACGGCAUGCGCGAAGGAGGAGAAUCUCAAUCUUGGUCUGCGCGCCCAGCUGCAGAGCCAAAACCCUGUCCGUUUGCGCGAUUUAGUUCCCCUGACCAAGCCGCUCGAGGAGAUGACAGAGGCGGAACGCAUCGAGUACGCCUUGAAAGUCUCACGUCUCACAGAUUAGUGCCGCCGAAAAGACGUCGUGAGUGCUCGCUUCCCAGAUGGCGCCUCUGUUGAAGCUCAUCGCAGACGUUUGGGCGAAGAUAAGAGUGCAAGAGCAGAAACAUGUUUGCCGCUGUGCGGCUUCUCUAUCCGUUCAGGUGCUUUCUUGAGACAUGCACGCUUUGCCUGUGGUCUCCGCUUUAGUUGCUGCUUUACAGAUUUUUCUGUGCUGUGCACUCUCGCUUACUUUUCUCCUCCGUCAG
rnacentral:misc_RNA from 1 species